rnacentral:rRNA from 1 species
UACGAAGGGGGCUAGCGUUGCUCGGAAUCACUGGGCGUAAAGCGCACGUAGGCGGAUUGUUAAGUCAGGGGUGAAAUCCUGGAGCUCAACUCCAGAACUGCCUUUGAUACUGGCGAUCUCGAGUCCGGGAGAGGUGAGUGGAACUGCGAGUGUAAGAGGUGAAAUUCGUAGAGUAUUCGCAAGAACACCAGUGGCGAAGGCAAUCCCCUGGGCCUGCACUGACGCCUCAUGCACGAAAGCGUGGGGAGCAAACAGG